rnacentral:rRNA from 1 species
UACAGAGGUCUCAAGCGUUGUUCGGAUUCAUUGGGCGUAAAGGGUGUGUAGGUGGCGCCGUAAGUCGGGUGUGAAAUUUCGAGGCUUAACCUCGAAACUGCAUUCGAUACUGCGGUGCUUGAGGACUGGAGAGGAGACUGGAAUUCAUGGUGUGGCAGUGAAAUGCGUAGAGAUCAUGAGGAAGACCAGUGGCGAAGGCGGGUCUCUGGACAGUUCCUGACACUGAGACACGAAGGCCAGGGGAGCAAACGGG